UACGUAGGGUGCAAGCGUUAAUCGGAAUUACUGGGCGUAAAGCGUGCGCAGGCGGUUAUGCAAGACAGAUGUGAAAUCCCCGGGCUUAACCUGGGAACCGCAUUUGGUGACUGCAUAGCGUGGAGUACGGCAGAGGGGGGAUGGAAUUCCGCGUGUAGCAGUGAAAUGCGUAGAUAUGCGGAGGAACACCGAUGGCGAAGGCAGUCCCCUGGGCCUGUACUGACGCUCAUGCACGAAAGCGUGGGGAGCAAACAGG
rnacentral:rRNA from 1 species